AGGACGAAACGCUGGCGGCGUGCUUAACACAUGCAAGUCGAGCGGACAUCUUCGGAUGUUAGCGGCGAACGGGUGAGUAACACGUGGGCAACCUGCCCCUAGCUCUGGGAUAACUCCGGGAAACCGGGGCUAAUACUGGAUAUGACCGAUCCAUGCAUGUGGGUUGGUGGUAAAGUUUUUCGGCUAGGGAUGGGCCCGCGGCCUAUCAGCUUGUUGGUGGGUGAUGGCCUACCAAGGCGACGACGGGUA
rnacentral:rRNA from 1 species